rnacentral:lncRNA from 1 species
AGCACUAUCAGAUUUGAGCUAAUAGCCUUGAAAUCAAACAUAUCGAAAAAUGAAAAGGUAAAAAAUGAAGGGAUUGGCUUUGGAAGCUAUUAUCAAAAAAAAAAAAGAACUUACCGGCUAGAGUUUAUGGAGAGAAAACCUUAAAUCCAAUGAAGUAAAAAGAAAAAAAAAAUCAUGGAAAGUAUAGAGACCUAUAACUUCCAGGUAAGCUCGGCUCGUACAGUAAACCCAAUAACCAUUUCUUUAACCGGUUCGAUAUCUCUUGAACCUGAUCUAGGAUCCGAAUUUAGACCGGGUCUAAAACCAAUAAGAAUUUCAUCGAAAGAGACCAACGAGGAGUCGAGAGAGAGGGAGAGAGCAAUGGCACCUUCGUCGUCGAGCGGUUUGACCUUCAAGCUCCAUCCUCUAGUAAUCGUCAACAUAUCGGAUCACUACACCAGGGUCAAGACUCAGCUAAACCCUCCGCCUUCAGUCUGCGCAACCGAGAACGCCUCCUCCAACAACGGCGAAGCAAUGUUGCAGCCGAACCCUAGGGUUUACGGAUGCGUGAUCGGCGUCCAGAGAGGCCGCACUGUGGAGAUCUUCAACAGCUUCGAGCUUUUGUUCGAUCCUUCGACUGAAACCCUCGAUAGGUCCUUCCUCGAGAAGAAGCAAGAGCUCUGUGAGCUCUCUCUCACUCUCUCUAUUCUCUUGUCCUUUGGAUAAUUUUAUGGGGUUUUGAUUGAUUAUUCUUGUUGUUUAUCAGACAAGAAAGUGUUCCCUGACUUCUACGUGUUGGGAUGGUACUCUACGGGGAGUGACGCUGAGGAGUCUGAUAUGCUUAUCCACAAAGCCGUGAGUUUUCAAAGUGUUUUUGUAGGAUUAAGAUUUGAUCUGAAUGUACUGAAAAGUGCGUGGCUUUCGUGUCGUGACAGUUGAUGGAUAUCAAUGAGUCUCCCGUUUAUGUGCUUCUUAACCCGGCAAUCAAUCACGCACAGAAGGAUCUCCCAGUUACCAUUUAUGAAAGUGGUAUGCUUUCAGUUACUCUUAUCUUCCUUUUACUGGUUUAGAAGUUACUGUGACGUACGUGAUUAUGUAAUGCCACACUGUUAGCUUGUUACUGUAGGUAUAUGUUGUGUGUAGUUCAGAGUUACCUCCAUCUUUGUUCACUUCCAGAUUUAAAGUUCCUAACUUUUCUAAUUGAUUGGAAGAGUUGCAUGUCAUUGAUGGAAUCCCACAGCUCAUUUUUGCUCAUACAAGCUACACAAUCGAGGUCUGUGCUUAAUUUUGAUUCUGCUGUUAACCUAUGGUGUGAACUUGACUGAGAUUCUUGAGAUGUUAACCCAAACAGACAGUUGAAGCUGAACGGAUAUCAGUCGAUCAUGUUGCACAUCUCAAACCGUCUGAUGGAGGCUCAGCAGCAACCCAGUGUGAGCCUUUAUACCUCUCUCAUACUUAUCAUAAUCCAUUUGUUUCAGUGACACUGAAGCUUGACUGAUUACUUGUUAAUAUGCAGUGGCUGCUCAUCUUACUGGGAUACAUAGUGCCAUCAAAAUGCUUAAUAGCAGAAUCAGAGUGCUCCACCAGUACCUUGCAGCUAUGGAGAAAGGUACCUUCUAUUUUUCCCUUCCUUAAGUGCUUUAGGUGACACGGAUAAUGACUCGUGGGUUCUUAUUUCUAGGUGAUAUUCCUUGUGAAAACUCACUUCUGAGACAAGUAUCUAGCCUGCUAAGAAGGUUGCCUGCCAUGGAAUCAGAGAGGUUUCAUGAUAACUUUUUGAUGGUGAGUUACAUUUGCAUCAUAUUCUUUCUAAGUAUGGCUUGUUUUCUCAAAUAUCUCUCAAACUUAUGUAAUUCUCUCCUUUUGCAGGAGUACAACGACAAAUUGCUAGUAACUUACCUAGCAAUGAUUACAAAUUGUACCAGGUCUGUACCAUAUAUAACAUUCUAUAUAAAGUAUUCGACUGCAGAGUCAUAUGCAGGCCAACGUUUACAAAACAUGUGGCAAUCAUGCUACGCCUUUAUGUUCUGUUAUCAUCAUUAGUAACUAUGAAAGGUGUAAUUGUCAUUGGACUGAUGACUCUGUUUUAUCUGUAAACUUCUUUUUUUUUUGGUUCAAUCUGCAGCACCAUGAACGAGAUGGUGGACAAAUUCAACAUUGCGUAUGACAGAAACGCUCGAAGAGGUGGAAGAACUGCGUUCAUGUAAAAGUGUUUUUUUUCCAGCAGAUUCAAGCUGAAAAAUAUCUUCUUCUUUUUUUUUGCGUUUGCCUCGGAGUUAAUCUAUAAAUGAGUCUUAGUCUUCCUCGUGAUUGUUUCUAUCUAUGUACGAAGCUUCUCCGUACUGAAAACUCUUGUUUGAUUUUUUCCAAAUUUCCAUUGUUAGUAAAAAGAUUUUUACGGUUGAAGCUUUGUAAACUUUUGUUACACUUGGGUUAUGUGUUGAAUUAUGUUAUGUCUAAUAUAAAAAAGACAUCCAAAAAAGCUCAAGCAAAAUAAAAAGAAGACAAAAACUAAGGAAUGAAAAUAGAAAUAGCCUUGACCUUCCUCCCCAAGGUUUCAAACAAAUAUAAUAAAGAAAAUGAAACAGAAAUAGAAAUUAAAAGUUAUUGUAACUUGUAAGCCCCCAAGCAAAUGCAAAAGAAAAGGAGAAGAGAGUAAGUAAAUCUUCAAAUCUGUGGUAAUCUACUCAUGAUCUGGUUAUAAACCGAUUGUCCCGUCUCCGAAACCGGUUCCACCUUCGGCUCCAUCCCUCUAUGCAUCAUCGCUUCACUCAUCCCACCCGGUUGAGUCAUAUACGGGUGAGGCAAACCCGGUAAUUUCCCUUGACCAAACCCUAAACCAGGUAGCGAAAGAUUAGCCAAACCGGUUUGUCCUAAACCGAACGAGUAACCGGAAGGAGGUCCCAAAUGCGGCUGGAAGCUAAACGGACGUCCAAACGGAGACUGAUGAUUGCUGGCCGUGAGCUGUCUCUCGUAUCUGCCACGCGGCUGCUCAUGGUAAAAGAUUAUGUAAUAUUAAUUUCUUUUUCUAAAAUCCUAUAAAACUGUAAAAUAAUAUUUGAUAGUUGUUUUUCUUUUUUAUAUAAAAAUUUCUAAACAAAAUAAAUUUGUAUAAUAUUUUUAAGUCCUAACCAAAAGAGAAUUGUAAAAAUUUAUUUGAUAAUAUUUUUAAGAGAGUGUUUGAUGAUGAAUAUGAUACUAAAAAUUAUUUAGGUAACAAAAGAAGUGUAAAAAUUAGUAUUGAUACGAAUGGUAAAAAUAGAAAUUUUAAAAAUAUUUAUUAAUAACUAAAAUAAUUAUUUUAUAGCAAUAUAUUUUUUCCUGAAAUUCUAAACAGAAAAUAAUUGUAAUAGGUUAUAUGACAAUAAUUUACCUUUUCUAAAAUCUUAAACAAAUUGUAAAAGAGUAUUUAUAAAAUAGAAUGUUUUCCUUUUUUUAAAAUCCUAGCAAAAUAAAAAUUUUAAGACUUAUUUAAUAAAACAUUAAAUUAGUAGAUAAGAAUACGUAUAAUGUUGUCAUUGAUUCGAUUGUUGUAUUUAACUUUCAUUUCUUUUUACUUUUCAUUUUUUAUUUCGGAUUGUGUUCAAUUUAAAUGUUUAUGUAUGGUAUUUUCUCUAAUCCUUAGUAUACCGUUUAUAACAACUCAUCUAUGCACCAUGAUUAUAAAAUAAAAAUAUUAACUUGAACUUAUGUGUGAAAACGAGUUUUAAUUAUAAAAUAAAUUUCAAACAACAUAUGCAAAAAACAAUCAUAAUACUAUAAUAAAAUGAUUUAUUAUUUUAUGGUUUUUAUUAAAUUAAAACAUCAAACAAAACCCGUUGCAACGGAGUUGGAAAGGGUCCUUCUGUAUAAGAGAAAGGUCCAGAGAGAGAAAGUAGAUCCGAUCUUGGGUCCGGCGUAUGACCGGCGCGUGAGCGAGCGUGCCGUCGCUGGAACCCUUCGCUUUACCGUUGAGAAAACUCCCCUGCUUCUCCCUCGCCUCCUUUCCCUAUCGCCUUGUCGGAGCUCUGGUCCAGGCCUCAUCUGUCGUCGUCACCUCGGGGAGUGAACCGACAUCAUUGGUGGCGCUGCGUCUGGAGUAACGACGCGAUCGUGUGAAGGGUGGGUGUGGUGAAGUCGGUUUGUUAGAUUAGGUUUCGAUUCCGGGAGGUAGAGGCAUCUAAAGCUCCAUCGCCGCCGGCCUUGUUUCCGGGAAGUGGAGGCUUCCUCAGCUCUGCUUUCGCCGGCUUUAGUCUCCGGGGGGUGAAGGUGUUUUUUGCCUUGCGUCGCCGGCUCUUGGUCCCCUAUUUCCGUUUUAGGGUUUUUUAUCUUUGUUUUGGCGGUUUCGGGUUGGUUUUGAUGGAGGAGCUCUCGUCGGAGGAUGAUUGACACUCUCCGGUGGUUUAUGGUGAUGGUUUGUGCGAAAUCUUCUUCUCGGUGUUGGUGAUUAAUGGUGGCGGGUGAGAUCUCGUCCUUGCGAUUGAUGCUCUCCGAUAAUAGAAGCACCUGAUUUGAAGGCGUUUGCGGUGAUGAUGGGGUGGAGCUGACGAGCUCUGAUGUGUCCCGGUGGAUCGAUCGAUGGAUGUUUCACAGGGGGUGGCUUGAAGGGGGGCGACGUCGUGGCUCGAAGCGAUGGUUCACGGAUACGGCGGCGUCCUUUUCGGUUUCUAGGGUUUUUUUAGUUGGGCUUGUGGGCCUUGUGUGUGUGUUUUAAGUUUGCCUUUACCGAUGGGCUUUGUAUCUGUUGAGUUUGUCUCAUUAAUUAAAGAAAUUAUUGAUGGCAAAAAAAAAAAAACCUGUUGCAACGCAACGAACUCAUAUCUUGUAAAAGAUAAACUUGACGUCCCAGGAUGUCACUAAUAUGCAGUGCUACUGCAGUCGCAGCAAUGUUACUAUCCAGUAAAACAUGUCAAGGCUCCAUUUCUCAAUAUUAAGGAGCAAAGCAUAGAUUGCAGUGGCGAGAUAAAUUGUGGGGACCAAAGAAGAGGACAAAAUUUCUAUACUCAAGACAUAUGAUGCCUCAAAAACUUAUUGCAACUCACAACACCAAACCUACAAGAGGACAAUGCAUGUGGUACAAAGAAGUGAAACAACCACGCACACCGGUAGAGACUAUGGUAAUGCAUCAAAAACCGACCAAAAAAUUGUCAACCAUAUAAUGUGUGUCCAAUACGUCUUGAUAAGAAAGAUGAAUUUUAAUCCAUAACAUAACUCAGCUUCCAGAUGAAGCAAUGAUAUUACGAAGAAGGAGAACGAAAAAACACGAUAGUUAGAGAAGUCAUACUGUUGACCUUCCAAUCCGGUUAAACACAAAGACAAAUCCUGUAAAUAAUAUUGAAACUUACGUCAACACAGAAGCACUAUCAGAUUUGAGCUAAUAGCCUUGAAAUCAAACAUAUCGAAAAAUGAAAAGGUAAAAAAUGAAGGGAUUGGCUUUGGAAGCUAUUAUCAAAAAAAAAAAAGAACUUACCGGCUAGAGUUUAUGGAGAGAAAACCUUAAAUCCAAUGAAGUAAAAAGAAAAAAAAAAUCAUGGAAAGUAUAGAGACCUAUAACUUCCAGGUAAGCUCG